AAAAAAAAAUUCUAACGAUGAAAUAAUCUAGUAUAUCAAGUAGUAUAAAAUCUUAUUAAAAGACUCUAGAAGAGCAUAUACAUUGUUUUCUAUGGGAAUACAAAAUUAAAAUCAUCGAUGCGGUAUAGUUCUCCAAAUCUCAAAGUUAAUAUGAUGAGAUAUAAAUACAUUAUGAUUCUAGAGUGGAAUUUAAUACGAGAUGGAUGAACUUGAAGUUUCAUCAUCUCGAGAAGGAGAAGUAAUGAAUGGAUAAUAAGUGACAUAUCCAGAAGAUUAUGUUCAAUCUUUGACUACUAAAGAUCUAAAAGUUGUAUAAAGCAAUUCUUAUAUGAAUGUGUUAUUAGAUAAAAUAAAUUAUAAUUAGUUAUUACUAAAACUUCAAGACUUGAAGUCUCUUUUUGAAUAUAACUCACAUUGUUAAGAGAAUAUUUCUGAUGCGCAGAUGGUAAAACAGAAGAUUAAACUUUUACGCAAGUAUCGUUGUCCUGUAGACACAAUAUUUGAAAGAAAUUUAAGAACUAUUAUGAACUUAAAUCGAGUGUUUUUCAAAGGCUAAAAAAAAUAUAUGAGUUAUUGAUGAUAAGUAAUACUCAUAUUCUGAAGUGAAUAUAAGAUCUUACAUAGCUAGUCAAAUUAAAUUUAAUAUCGUUUAUAUUAGAAUCUAAAAUUUUAAUUAUUAUCUCGUUAUUGUUUUAUUAACAUAUGAUUGAUUAUUAAAAUACAUGGAAGUAAUUUUGAUUAUAAGAUCUCAUUAAGGGAGUAACUGAUAAGCAAUGAAAAGUAAAUUAGAAGUUUUGAAAGAACUAGAAGUUUCAAAAGAAUUAAAAGUUUCAAGAGUAUAUUUGGCUUAACCGGAUUGGUCAUCCUGGUUUAAUGAUGAUGUGAAAGUAUUGAGAAUGCUCCAGAAUAUAAUGAGUGUCCUGUAAGGACCAAUUUCAAACUGCUAUCGAGUCUUAAGAUCGCAUGAAGCGUAAUAGACCUUGGUUCCAAAUAUAAAUAUUCUCGUAAAAGUGAAGGAGCACAAAAUUAAAAAUGACCAAAUUGAGGAAAUAAAUAUUUUGAUGAUCUCUUGAAGAGAGUGAAUGAUCUCUAAAAGAGACAUAAACAUGACAAAUGAAACAUUCAAGUACUUGACAAUGAAGAGAUCUAGCUAGCUAUGUCAUGUCAAAAUAUAAUGGAAUCAAAAGCAAAUCGACGUCGUAAUAUAUUUGCAUGCUAUGAGCAGUUGAUAUUAUAGACAAAAAGGAGGAUCAUGAAAGAAAGUCUAUUGAAAAGUGUACACAAAGUAAUGAUUAGCCAAAAAAUGGAAAAGAAGAAAUGGACAUAUAAUUAUAAUUUCUAAUAGAGAUAUUUGGACUAGUAGUCUAUGCACAUGAUGUGUAAAACCAGUGGAAAAUAAAUGAGUCUUUAUGUGAAAGAAUAGUGAAAUUCAUGAGAUUUUCACAAAGAUAAGAAAUGUAUUAUGAAGAGAUAUAUUCUCUUGUGGUGGAUGUAAUAUUUUUUAAGUAUCUAAAGUCUGGCAAUAAGAGACGGAACACUGGAUAUGACAUUUAUAUGAAAUUCUUGAAAGAUAUAAUUUCUGAAGGAUUAAUUAUAUGAGAAUUAUGUUCUCUAGAACUCUACUCGAUCGAAUAAAAAAAAAAA
rnacentral:sRNA from 1 species